CAGGCUAUAAUAUAUGUCCAGCAGCACGCGGUGAUAAUAUAUGAUGGUCGAGAGUGAUCUCCGAGAUAAUUAUGGCGUGUAAGAGCGCGCGCGGCGCGUGUCUUUUAUGUGAUGAUGAGAGAGCACGGCUCUCCCCCGGAGAGUCUCAGUAAACUGUGGGAAACUAGUGCACAAAAGAAGAGCGUAGUUCCCCACGUAGCGGGGAAAAACGCAUAGAGAUGUAGAGACACCACAGUCGAGGAGGCGUCUCUCGUGUGUGUAUGACGCUGUGACGAGAGAGAGUGUGGAGCGAACACGAUAUGAUAUCCCGGUAGUGCACACGCUGAACGAUGAGAGCUCUGAGUUAGAGGGUGUCUCCCCUCCAUAGCGCCACCUCACACACUAUACACUCUGCCCCGGGAGAGCGGUGGCGCGAGAGAAAAUCAAAAGGAUAUAGGGGGGGCCCCGCACGCGCGGGGGCGCGUGGGUUAUAUUUAAAAAACACGAAGAACCUCUUCACAUCUUGACAUCCUCUGUCACAUCCAGAGAGAGAGGGUUUCCCUUUCGGGGACAGAGUGACAGGUGGUGCAUGGUUGUCGUCAGCUCGUGUCGUGAGAUGUUGGGUUAAGUCCCGCAACGAGCGCAACCCUUGAUCUUAGUUGCCAGCAUUCAGUUGGGCACUCUAAGGUGACUGCCGGUGACAAACCGGAGGAAGGUGGGGAUGACGUCAAAUCAUCAUGCCCCUUAUGACCUGGGCUACACACGUGCUACAAUGGACGGAACAAAGGGCUGCAAGACCGCAAGGUCAAGCCAAUCCCAUAAAUCCAUUCUCAGUUCGGAUUGCAGUCUGCAACUCGCCUACAUGAAGCUGGAAUCGCUAGUAAUCGCGGAUCAGCAUGCCGCGGUGAAUACGUUCCCGGGCCUUGUACACACCGCCCGUCACACCACGAGAGUUUGCUAACACCCGAAGUCGGUGGGGUAACCUUUAUGGAGCCAGCCGCCUAAGGGUGGACCCAGGAAG
rnacentral:rRNA from 1 species